AAGUCGUAACAAGGUUUCCGUAGGUGAACCUGCGGAAGGAUCAUUAAUAAUAUAGCAAACCAAGCGUUAGCGAGGUUCUGCGAUCAAAAUUUGUAUUUAAAACCCAACACCUUUGAAUCAAUAUUUUUAUGUAUCUUAAAUAAUAAAAGAUCACUUUCAACAACGGAUCUCUUGGUUCUC
rnacentral:misc_RNA from 1 species